rnacentral:rRNA from 1 species
UUCAAUUUAAUUUGAUUGAUAAUAAUUAUUUAUUUAUUUUAAAAAAAAUAAUUUAAAUUUUUAGUAAUGUAUAAAAAAAAAAUGGUUUUAAUUAUAGAAAAUUAGUAUAGUGAUAGAAUUUAAUAAUAAGUUUAAAAGUAAAUUUUAUAGAUUGUACCUUGUGUAUCAGGGCUUAUUAAUUAUAAAUUAUAAAUUUUAAUUAUCUCGAUUUUAUAAGAGUUAAUAAGAUAUAAAUUUUAUUGUAAAAUAAAUAUUUAUAAUAUUUUAUUAGUAAUGAAACGUUAUUCGUUUAUAAAAAUAUCUAGUUUUUAAAGAAAAAAGUUUAAUUUUAUAUUUAAAGGUAAUUUAUUUAUUUAAAAUUAAAUUAUUGUUAAAUAUUUAUAUUUUUUAGGAUAAGCUAAAAAAUAUAUUAUUAUAAAUAUUUUUAUGUUUAAUAAUUUAUAGAAUUAGAAUUUUUCAAUUUUAAUAUGUUAUAAUUAAUUAUAAUAAAUUUAAAUUUAUGUAAGAAUAUUUUAAUUAAUUUAUUUAAAUAUUUUAUAAAAUUUUUUAAUAUAAGUAUUAAUGAUAAAAUUAGUAUAAUUAAAUGUAAAUUUAUUUAAUAAAUAAAGGUUAAAUAAAGGAAUUCGGCAAAAUCAUUUCUUGCCUGUUUAUUAAAAACAUGUCUUUUUGAGAAUAAUUUAAAGUCUAACCUGCCCACUGAAAUUUAAAUGGCCGCAGUAUUUUGACUGUGCAAAGGUAGCAUAAUAAUUAGUUUUUUAAUUAAAAGCUAGAAUGAAUGGUUGGACAAAGAAAUAACUGUCUCUAUUUAAUUUUAUUAGAAUUUAAUUUUUAAGUUAAAAAGCUUAAAUUUUAUUUAAAGACGAGAAGACCCUAUAGAGUUUUAUAUUUAUUAUUUUUAAAUUUUUAAGAAUUUAAUUUUUUAUUUUUUAAUAAAUAUUUUAUUGGGGUGAUAGGAAAAUUUAAUUAACUUUUUUUAAAAAAUAACAUUUAUUUAUGAGUAUUUGAUCCAUUAUUAUGAUUAUAAGAUUAAAUUACCUUAGGGAUAACAGCGUAAUUUUUUUUAAGAGUUCUUAUCGAAAAAAAAGUUUGCGACCUCGAUGUUGGAUUAAAUUAAUAAUUUGGUGUAGUAGCUAAAUAUUUAGGUCUGUUCGACCUUUAAAAUUUUACAUGAUCUGAGUUUAAACCGGUGUGAGCCAGGUUGGUUUCUAUCUUAAAUAAAUAAUUAUAUUUUAGUACGAAAGGACCAAAUAUAAAUAAAAUUUAUUUUUUAUGAAUAUUAUUAUUAUUAUU